GUGUUAGCUGGCCCAUGAAGACACAGUUAUCCUGUGCCCUAUGGAGUUUCCUUAUUCCCAUGUUAGGGCCUCUCCUUCUGGCACAGUUCAGUUGUUGGUGGCAAGGAGAGAGACAUGAAGGGAUGGACUGGGAGAUGUGUGUUCCAGGACGAAGGAAAAAGAUUCCACAUAUAAUUGAUAUCAUAUCCAAGGAAAACCCUAAUUGGAAAAGAUACAUGCACCCCAAUGUUCAUUACAGCACUGUUUAUGAUAACCAAAACAUGAAAGCAACCUAAAUGUCCAUCAACAGAGGAAUGGAUAAAGAAGAUGUGGCACAUAUAUGAAAUACAUAAAUGAAAUACUACUCAGCCAUAAAAAAUAAUGAAAUAAUGCCAUUUGCUACAACAUGGUUGGACCUAGAGAUGAUCAUAGUGAGUGAAGUAAGUCACACAGAGAAAGACAAAUAUCAUAUCAUAUAUCACAUUCUAAUGCUCAGGGUGUUUAGGAGCAAGGACAGUGCUUAGCAGAGAGUUUUGCUAAACAGGGAGAGGAAAAAAUUAUUAAGCAUUUACUCAGUGCCAGGAAUUGUGGUGGGUGCCUUACGUCUGUAGUGGACACUGAGGUUAACUUAUGACUUUCAAUCCAAGCCUGCCUUUGAGCAGCAACAAAGGAAUGGUUUCUAAACAGCCUAAUCCCCUCAAAGGAGAUUCAUUCCCUUGCCUGGUGGUGGUGGUGGGUGGGAGGGCAGCUUCUAGAAUCCAGGUUUAAGCCAAUCAGAGCAUUGCACUCCCCUAAUGAGUGGAUAGAUUAAGGCUGGGCCUGAGAUCUAAACUGGGCAUUCAUACAGAAAGGAAAGAUUCUUUCCAUUUAGGGGCAUGAGGCCAAAGCUCUGGGCAGCAGAUGCAUGCAAGCAUAUAGAUCCUUAGUGCCAGAGAGUCGUUAAAUCCAUCAACCAAACCUAAACUGAGCUGACCAGACAUCCUCCACUCCCUCCCCAUACCUUUCUCAGCUUGCUCUCUGCUCUGAAAGGCUGACUUGUCUGGACUGUGUGGUUGCGCUCUCUUGUCCUCUGGCUCUUGGGGAACAUGGGCAGGAUGUGGAAAGAGGGAGCAGGGUAAGACUCUGCAUACUCAUUCUGAGAUAAUCCCCUGUUUGGAGCAUCUUCUUCUGUGAGAUGACACCCUCCCUUACUAUUUAAACUGGUCUGAAUUAUGUUUAUUCGUUAUUUACAGUAACACAUGUACCCACAAACAUAUGUUAUCUCUUGUAAACUUCAGGAGAAGUUAAGGUGCCGUUAUUCUUUCUGUGUUAUUACUCUAAGUGAACCAUGGGCCAGAGAGGUUGAAUACCUUGGACAAGAAGCUAAAGAGGCUGCUUUUGUCCCUUAAGUGUAGAAACUGAUUUAUGUUUACUAAAUGCUCUUUUAUAGUAUUGUUGUUUUGUUUAAAACAUUACUAAAUGUCUUUCAAGUACUUUCUUAACCAAAUGUCAUAAUCAGAAAAUAGGCUCACUUAACCUUCUAUAUUGGUUUUAGCUAAUGCCUGGAUGCCAUGUGUAUCUUCCUUCAUCAUUUCAUCUUUUUUUUUUUUUUUUUUUUUUUGUCUUUUUGCCAUUUCUUGGGCCGCUCCCGCAGCAUAUGGAGGUUCCCAGGCUAGGGGUCAAAAAGGAGCUCCAGCCACCAGCCUACGCCAGAGCCACAGCAACGCGGGAUCAGAGCCGCGUCUGCAACCUACACCACAGCUCACGGCAACGCCAGAUCCUUUAACCCACUGAGCAAGGGCAGGGACCGAACCCGCAACCUCAUGGUUCUUAGUCGGAACCAAUUUGCCUAUUCUUAAAGGAUACCCUUGGGAUACAUCCUAAAAGCUUAAACAAAUGUACCCUAUUUAUUUAGAAUAAUUCUUUUAGAAUAAUUUCCACUUAUAGAAAAAUUGCACAACUCUAUAAGCUUUACUGUAUGCAUCUCUAUAUGCUUACAUCCUAAAAGCUUAAACAAUUUACCCUAUUUAUUUAGAAUAAUUUCCACUUAUAGAAAAAUUGUACAUCUCUAUAUGCUUCACCGAGAUUCUUCUAUUCAUAUUCUGCCCCAGUUACUUUUUCC
rnacentral:lncRNA from 1 species